rnacentral:rRNA from 1 species
AGUGAACGCUGGCGGCGUGCCUAAUACAUGCAAGUCGAACGGAGUGGCGCACGGGUGAGUAAUAUAUAGCUAACUUGCCCAUUACUAAGGGACAACAGUUGGAAACGACUGCUAAUACCUUAUAAAUGGAUAGGGCUAUAUCGUAUCAGCUAGUUGGUAAGGUAACGGCUUACCAAGGCUAUGACGCGUAACUGGUCUGAGAGGAUGAUCAGUCACACUGGGACUGAGACACGGCCCAGACUCCUACGGGAGGCAGCAGUAGGGAAUCUUCGGCAAUGGGGGGAACCCUGACCGAGCAACGCCGCGUGAGUGAAGAAGGUUUUCGGAUCGUAAAGCUCUGUUGUUAAGGAAGCGGUACUUAACCAGAAAGGGACGGCUAACUACGUGCCAGCAGCCGCGGUAAUAC